UGAAUCCCGUCCCGGAAGGUUAGGCCAACCACCGGGUAGCGAGUCCUUGGAGGCUUUAUGGUAACAUAAAGUUUUAAGCGUAGGAUAGCGAGCAGACAGGCCGUAAGCCGAAAGGUUGAAGGGAUUGAGCCCCGUAAUUUUCCUAAUCGGAAGGACGACAUUCUUCUACAGAUGGAAGUCAAUACAGUCAUCAACGUUAAAGGCAAGAUGGUGGCUGCUUCCCGGGGUCGGAGACCA
rfam:Desulfobulbaceae bacterium BRH_c16a BRHa_1003749, whole genome shotgun sequence.